GCACCUCUCACUCCCUUUCUCUAACUAGUCUUGUGUGCACCCAUUUAUGUGUACGUACUAUUAUCUCAUAAAUAAAUAUUUUUAAAAUUAGAUGCAUUUAUUGAUAUGAAAAAGUUACAAGAUUAGUUUGUUGUGUGUGAGACUUUGGAUCGACAGAUCGAAAAAUUAACUAACCGGACCACUUAUAAGUUGACACGUCAGCCCUUGGAUUCGUGAGAUACUCGAUCUCUUGUGCGUGCGUAAAUUUUAUACAAGUUGUCGGCGGAUCCAUGGAAGAAAGC
rnacentral:misc_RNA from 1 species